GCAUUGGUGGUUCAGUGGUAGAUUUCUUGCCAGCCACGCGGGAGACCAGGGUCCGAUUCCCGGCCAAUGCA
rfam:Danio rerio chromosome 4, GRCz11 reference primary assembly.